rnacentral:rRNA from 1 species
UACGUAGGGGGCAAGCGUUGUCCGGAAUCAUUGGGCGUAAAGAGCGUGUAGGUGGCUCGGUAAGUCCGCUGUGAAAGUCCAGGGCUCAACCCUGGAAUGCCGGUGGAAACUGUCGAGCUCGAGUCCGGAAGAGGCGAGUGGAAUUCCUGGUGUAGCGGUGAAAUGCGCAGAUAUCAGGAGGAACACCAAUGGCGAAGGCAGCUCGCUGGGACGGUACUGACGCUGAGACGCGAAAGCGUGGGGAGCGAACAGG